UGCAGGCAGGACCCUGUGCUCCAAAGGUGCUCUGGGGUAGCAGUCUCGUGGCUGCAAAAGUCUCACAGUGUGUCCUGUAUUGCAGUGCCUGCAACCCCCCCGAUCAUCUUCCCGCUGACCUGCCCCGGGUGUGUACUGAAAGACACUUCAGCGACCAUUGUCGCCGGCUGCCUGAUCCGGGGCUUCUUCCCCCGGGGCCCUCUGAGUGUGACAUGGAACGACAACAGGGCAAACCUGACCUUCCCACCUGUCCAGUCUGCCACCUCGAGCCUGUACACCACGUGCAGCGUGCUGAGCCUGCCAGCUGAGCAGUGUCCUGCAGGAAACAGUGUGGCCUGCCGCGUGGAGCACAACAACAAGCGCCAGGACCUGACUGUGCCCUGCCUAGCUUGCAAUAAGCCCACCAUAGAACCACCAACGAAACCCACCUGCCCCUGCCCCUGCCCCUCCCCCUCCUGUGGGAAGCCCAGCCUGUCCCUGCAGCGGCCAGACCUCGGGGACCUGCUCCUGGACUCGAACGCCAGCCUCACCUGCACCCUGAGAGGCCUGCUGAACCCCGAGGGCGCCGUCUUCACCUGGAAUCCCACAAAUGGGAAGGAACCCGUCCAGCAGAGCGCCCAGCGUGACCACUGCGGCUGCUACAGUGUGUCCAGCGUGCUGCCUGGCUGUGCGGAGCCCUGGAAUGCAGGGACAGUCUUCACCUGCACUGUCACCCACCCUGAGAUAGACAGCGGCUCCCUGACAGCCACCAUCAGCAAAGACACAGGCAGCCUCAUCCCACCCCAGGUCCACCUGCUGCCACCACCAUCGGAGGAGCUGGCCCUCAACGCACUGGUGACACUGACCUGCCUGGUGCGGGGCUUCAGCCCCAAGGACGUGCUGGUGUCCUGGACGAACAAAGGCGUGGAGGUCCCCAAAGACAGCUUCCUGGUGUGGAAGCCCCUGCCUGAGCCCGGCCAGGAACCCACCACCUACGCCGUCACCAGCCUGCUGCGCGUGCCGGCCGAGGACUGGAACCAGAAUGAAAGCUACACCUGCGUGGUGGGCCAUGAGGGCCUGGCCGAGCACUUCACCCAGAAGACCAUCGACCGCCUGGCGGGUAAACCCACCCACGUCAACGUGUCUGUGGUCGUGGCAGACGUGGAAGGCGUGUGCUACUGAGCCCCUAGCCUGCCCUGAAUAAACUCCGUGCUCGCCCCCAGCA